GAUGAACGCUAGCGGCAGGCUUAAUACAUGCAAGACGAACGGUAACUGGUGUAGCAAUACAUUAGCAAGAGUGUCGUACGGGUGCGUAACACGUAUGCAACCUACCUUGUACAGGAGGAUAGCUCGGGGAAACUACGAAUUAACCCUCCAUGAGAUCACAGUGUGGCAUCACAUAGUGAUUAAAACUCAGGUGGUACAAGAUGGGCAUGCGUCNG
rnacentral:rRNA from 1 species